ensembl:lncRNA
ACAGGAUGAAUAGUUUAUCUUCUGAGGUUUUUCACUUAUCUUUUUGUCUUCUUCAAAAACUUGGAGAUUAGCCACAACUGGAAACAGGCUGUAGAUUCAUGGCUUGAUGUUUUUACUGGUAUUAAAUCUCCUCACAUCUUGGCAUUAAAACAAUCACCACUUUGGAUGGAAGGAAGGAAUGCCUUCCUGAGAUCAGAUAGUUAACCGGGAGACCUAAAAGUUUGUUUCAUAAAAAAAUUGGAGUGGAAAAAAAGUCCAACUGUAAGACCCAACAAAAGGAACUUUGGAAGCAUUGCUCAUUGUAAUGGGAUGUGCUGGCAGAAAUCCUUUGGAGUACUAUAGAGACAACAUAAAUACACCUUGAGAACACUUGUUCUAUUGAAGCUCACUGGCAGUUUGCAGACUUUAAAGAAUCUCUUUUGAAUUCUCAGUGAAAGAAGCCAUUUGUUGCAACUCCUGCCUUGGUUUAAAGAACUGCUGACACCUCCUGGAAAACAUUAAGAGACAUCUUAUUAAA